rnacentral:rRNA from 1 species
GACGAACGCUGGCGGCGUGCCUAAUACAUGCAAGUUGAGCGCUGAAGGUUGGUACUUGUACCAACUGGAUGAGCAGCGAACGGGUGAGUAACGCGUGGGGAAUCUGCCUUUGAGCGGGGGACAACAUUUGGAAACGAAUGCUAAUACCGCAUAAAAACUUUAAACACAAGUUUUAAGUUUGAAAGAUGCAAUUGCAUCACUCAAAGAUGAUCCCGCGUUGUAUUAGCUAGUUGGUGAGGUAAAGGCUCACCAAGGCGAUGAUACAUAGCCGACCUGAGAGGGUGAUCGGCCACAUUGGGACUGAGACACGGCCCAAACUCCUACGGGAGGCAGCAGUAGGGAAACUUCGGCAAUAGACGAAAGUCUGACCGAGCAACGCCGCGUGAGUGAAGAAGGGUUUCGGAUCGGAAAACUCUGUUGGUAGAGAAGAACGUUGGUGAGAGUGGAAAGCUCAUCAAGUGACGGUAACUACCCAGAAAGGGACGGCUAACUACGUG